rnacentral:lncRNA from 1 species
AUUUCCUUUUGUGGUGAUUGUUUGAUUUUAAUUUUAGCAAAAGUGUGAAUGCAUGCUUGAUACACAUACACCAAUUAAUCCGCACAUAGUAAGGGCAAUCACCCCAACAAGAUAAGAACUGGAUUUCAUCACCAGAUUCUUGCCCAAAGUAGGUGAAUCAAUUCUCACAUAGCUAUCACCCUAAUUAAAAUUAAUUAGACGUUGGCCCCUAGGGACAUUAGAGCUCAAUAGGAUGAAGAUCACCGAAAGUUGCACCAAUUUCGCUCUGUGGCUUAGUUGAUGUCUAGGCAAGCUUUGUCCCUUUAAGGGAGACAGUUCAU